UUAUUCGGCGUUGAAUGCUUUGUCUCCCCUGAUUAAAGAAUUUUGAGGAUGGAGAUGUGGGUCAUGAGAAAGCCCCCUUUAAGUACGGCUCCUUCGAUUUGAUGAAGAAGGUUGCAGCUAGGCUUUGGAAGAACUGCAAUAAUCAAGGCAAUAUAGGUAAUUUUCUAUUUUAUUGAUUCCUUAAAAUGGGUUUUCUGAAAUUCUAUGUAAUUCAAUCAGUGGUCUAAGAUUGUUUUGCCUUCGUAUGUGUUAUGUUGGAUUCUCAAGAGGUGUGGUGUGUUGGUUUCCAAUUGUUCAUUGUCGCAGUGAGUGUGGAACCAUAUAUUCAUGCUCAACUUUGUUGUUUGUUUCUUUUACUUGGUAGUUAAACUAGAAUCCCUGUGUUUCUUUUGUAGAAUUUCACUGUGUAAAUACUUUUUCUCUUAACGAAGUCAACUAUGUAUUUUCAGGUUUCGGAUUAAAGGUUCUGUGAACAAAUCAAUUAGAUGCCUGUUUGAGGUAAAUUUAUCUCUAAAGUAUAUGAUAUUAUGGUUAUAAAUGUGAUCCUUAAUUACACAUGAGAUUCAUCAAAACUUAAACCCUAGAAUGUUGUGAGUAUCUGUCCUCCCUUUUGUAUUUCUCUUGCCGUGAAGUUUCCUUUUAGUUUUUGUUAAAUCUUAAUCCUCAUUUGUAUUGUGUUGCUUGCAUUUUUUUUCCUUCCAGAACUGCAUUUCCCUUUAAACUUCCUUUAUGUUCAUCAGAUUCAUAGAAUUAGUAUACAUUGAGCACAUUAAUACUGUGCUAAGUCAACAAAGCUGGACAGUAUGUCCUGACAAAGAAAUACAAAAUGAAGAGAUUAACGAGAGGUAUGUCUAACUCAUUUGCGAUACUCCCCAAGUCCUAGCAAGAAUGUGAAAGUUGUAGUGGAUAAUUCAACUAUAUACGCACAUUGUACUUCUUCAAGCAUAUCUAUGAGAACAUAUCAAAGAAAAUUGUAUGAAUGAUAACUGGAGAAAGCUAGCAAUUCACCCAUCCAUAACCAAAUGGUUCAUUUAGCUUCCUCCCAACUCACUGAAUGUGUUUCUUCUUAACCUUCAGCACACUAUUUUCUUUAUGUCCAAGUAGUACUCCAUCCUCCUUUGAUUGUGCUCAACUCACUGAAGUUAAUCCUUCCGAACCUUCGGUAGACCAUUUUCUUUUUGUCGUGAUAGGUUCAUAUGGUAUAGACGAAUGACUUUCUUAAUGUUCUUCUUUUGUUUGAUUGUCCUUAUUUUUUAUAUCUCUACAAGGAAGAGUUAUUAUAUUUUUAUCUUCUUUAAUAUUUCUUGUUUGAGAACCUUGUUGAAAGGGAGCCACAUGGCCAAAUAAACGAUAUUUUAAUAUGGAUAUUUGAACAAGGCCAUCGACAAAAGCAUAAUUGCAUUUCCUACUAUGCUCGAUAUCCCUGUAUAUACAUUUUACUUCUCUUUUCCCAUGACCCCUUAUAACAUUUCGAAACUGGUCAGUGAAAUCCUCAACAGGUAAACUGUGGAGUGCCCUGUUUUAGAUAGACAAUAUGUUUCUUAGGUGGUGCCACAUAGUUCUUUAUCCCGAAACUUCUCAAUUGACAAUAACUUGAUUAAUAGCGUAACUAGAAGCUAAGCAACCGACGCUUAGUUCUUAUUCCCAUAGUUCAAAAACUUAUUCAAUGACUUUAUAAGCACAUAUGUAUCAGAGACGUCUUCUAAUAUGGCAGAAAAUGGUGGCAGUAUUGAAGGAUCUCUUGUCUAAUAAUGAAAAGGAACCCAAAGUAUUAUACUUAAUGAGUUCAAUGAUUUUUCUUUUAAGCUAUUAAUAUUCUACUCCGCUUGCACUUUAUAGUGUUGCAUUCGCUUCCAUUCUAGGCUCUUUUCUCUCUUACAAAUAACUUUUACACAUACACCAUGGGUUGACAGAAAUGAGAGUCUUAUGAUGUUUGUACUCAAAUGGUUACCUGUAGAAGUUAUGGGAUCAGAGAGAGCAUGCAUUUAUCAAAAUCAUCAUUUCAAUUACUUUCACUAAAAACAAAAGUGUUGCUCGCAUUUAAUUUAUAUAUAUUUUAUUUGGGUUAUAUUUUCUGUGAUAAAACUGAGAAGGAACUUAAAUACGUAAUUAGUCUUUCAAACUUCACAUUCAUCCACACAAGCAUUGUGUUAUCUCUCCAUAUAAAAUCUAUUUGUAGAUGCUAAUUUAGUAGGAUUGUGUAACUCAAUACUAGAAGUUAGAAUUCCCAAUGCUUUCUUAAGUACUUUAUGUAUCUUCCUUCUUUCAGUAUACUUAUUUUAUUAUCUCUUCUUAUGAAUUAUCACUGUGUUUAUUAAUAAUGGACCUGCUUUUAUUGUAAUUGGAAAACCUAAUAUGCGUUUGUGUGCUGGUGUUUGACCACAUGAUCACAGUUUGCCAUCAAAUAUAGAUGGAAAGGAAGCUGGCAAUAGUUGAGCUAAUGAAAAUCGUGAGUUUUUUUCUUCUGAUUAUUAUUUGUUGAAAUGUAUUUCUUUUCUGAUUUAUAUAGUAGAGAAUUUUUUUUUUUUGAUGGUUAUCAUGUAUUUGUAACUGAGCACUUGUCUGUAGUGUAUGAAGUACAUACAUGUGCAGAAACCUAUAUGGUUUGGAAAGAAAGGUAACUAGUGGACUCGUGGAAUAGUUUUAGGCUAAAUUGCUCGGAAAUCUCCAAAAUAUCGCCGCUCUUGUGUUGGAAUAAAUCUUAGUAAUAAGGAGAAGAUUUUGCUGCUAUUUAGGUAGGUAGGGUGGCGGGCGAGGGUUGAUUGUUGCGGAGGACUUAUCAGGUGUCAAAUUACUAAAUUUUUUGUAGCUCUGGUAGGUGGACAGAGGUGUUGUUGUCAGGUUAUUUGCAUAUGUUAUCCCUCGACUUGAUAGAUGUAACUAUCUCACUCCUUGUUUAGUUUCCAGUGUAUUAGUGGCGUGGAUCAGCUGGAAAGAAAUUUACAAUAUUCUAUGUCAUUCUCCAUAGAGUCAGAAGCAUAUCAUGAUUUUGAGUUGAGAAGUGACAAGUUUAUCUUUUUAUUGUUAAUGAUAAAAGGUAACAUUAAAAAAAAAUUGGUUUAUUUCUUUUAGCCUCUGUUAAUUUGUGGGUUCAUCUAUUGUAUUCUUAACAUUUUGAGGUAAGUAUAUAUGCUUUGCGUGUUAGCCUAUAACUUCUCUAGGCAUGUGUCUACUUUUUCCAAAAAAAUGUACCAGCAUGUCAUUCCAUCUUGUAAAUUUACUAUAGAGGUUGAGAAGGGUGACCCGAAGAAACUUCGUCAUGUAUUAGUAGAUGCAGUGGACAAAAGUUAUCCCCAGGCCAUAUUUAAAAUGGAAAAAAAAAAUCUUUUGCAUGUGAAUUUGUAGUCUGAGUUGCCAGCGCAAGCAAAGUUCAAUGGUUUUAUCAGUUUGGGGAUUUACUCUUGUUUUAUAUUUUUGUAUCCAACUUAAGCAGUGUAUAAAAUCAUUUACUCUGAUUUUAUUUUUGAUAUUUGGUCCAUCAAUCUGAAGCUAUAUUUUAUUUACAGUUGGCAUAUUUAAUAAUUCUUAGAACUUUGCUAUGAGUACUUAAUCCUAACGUUAAAUACAUAGGUUGCAAUUUGAAUCUGCUAUAUGGUCUAAACCUUGUUUAACAGUAUGUAUUGUGCUUUUUUAACAGGUUUUGAAGACUUGAAGAGCUUAGAAGUUCCAGACCAAAAUAGAAAAUGAAUUUAAAAGUCAAGAUGCAAGAUUUUAAGACCCAAAUUGGUUAUCAUUUUGCAGUGACUGUAGGGAAAUUGUUUACAUUUUGUGCAAUGAAUGAAACAUGUGAUAGUAUCAUGC
rnacentral:lncRNA from 1 species